CAGAAAUCCUCAAAAGGCGGCAGAGAAAGAGAGGAGGAAUUUGUGGAUUACUCUACCGUUCAUCUUUGUUUAAGGAAACUAAAUUGGGGUAAUAUUAUGCCAGUCUACCUGCCGUAUGUCUGGUCAGCAGGAGGAGAAAGGCGCCGACAUCCCACCGCAGCAACAGGGUGAAGUGUGAAGGAAGGCGUGGGGACGGAGGGAAUCCUGGGUCAGCCGAUGGACACACAGGACAGCCGAAUGAGGAAGCAGACUUCAAACUUUAUGGACUCACAAAAUGUUUCAGACUUUAUAAAUUUGCUGGUGAAAAUUGUGUACUAGAGAAUGAGAUCUAGAGAGAUUCCA